rnacentral:sRNA from 1 species
AGCAGCCGCGGUAAUUCCAGCUCCAAUAGCGUAUAUUAAAGUUGUUGCAGUUAAAAAGCUCGUAGUUGAAUUUCGGGAUUGACACAUCGGUCGUGUCUUAAGGGGUAUGAACUGGUGUAGUCAAUUUCUCACCUUCUGGAGAACCGCGAUGCCCUUAAUUGGGUGUCACGGGGAACCAGGACCUUUACUUUGAAAAAUUAGAGUGUUUAAAGCAGGCAUUUUGCUUGAAUACAUUAGCAUGGAAUAAUAAAAUAGGACGGCAUGAUUCUAUUUUGUUGGUUUCUAGGAUCACCGUAAUGAUUAAUAGGGAUAGUUGGGGGCAUUAGUAUUCAAUUGUCAGAGGUGAAAUUCUUGGAUUUAUUGAAGACUAACUACUGCGAAAGCAUUUGCCAAGGAUGUUUUCAUUAAUCAAGAACGAAAGUUAGGGGAUCGAAGACGAUCAGAUACCGUCGUAGUCUUAACCAUAAACUAUGCCGACUAGGAAUCAGACGAUGUUAAUUUUUAAUGUACUCGUUUGGCA